rnacentral:rRNA from 1 species
ACGCCCGGUCACAUUCCGAACCCGGAAGCUAAGCCUUUCAGCGCCGAUGGUACUGCAUGCGGGAGCGUGUGGGAGAGUAGGACGCCGCCGAAC